CCUACGGGCGGCAGCAGUGGGGAAUAUUGCACAAUGGGCGCAAGCCUGAUGCAGCCAUGCCGCGUGUGUGAAGAAGGCCUUCGGGUUGUAAAGCACUUUCAGCGGGGAGGAAGGCGUUAAGGUUAAUAACCUUGUCGAUUGACGUUACCCGCAGAAGAAGCACCGGCUAACUCCGUGCCAGCAGCCGCGGUAAUACGGAGGGUGCAAGCGUUAAUCGGAAUUACUGGGCGUAAAGCGCACGCAGGCGGUCUGUCAAGUCGGAUAUGAAAUCCCCGGGCUCAACCUGGGAACUGCAUUCGAAACUGGCAGGCUAGAGUCUUGUAGAGGGGGGUAGAAUUCCAGGUGUAGCGGUGAAAUGCGUAGAGAUCUGGAGGAAUACCGGUGGCGAAGGCGGCCCCCUGGACAAAGACUGACGCUCAGGUGCGAAAGCGUGGGGAGCAAACAGGAUUAGAUACCCCAGUAGUC
rnacentral:rRNA from 1 species